UCCAAUAGCGGCGAAAGAUAUCCUUUGAAAGUCAACCUGUGGUAUUGUAAUAAUAUUGUUAAACAAAAGAAAAGCCAGAAACAAUAUUGUUGAAGUCUCAAACGAAAGUGGAGAAAAUGCCGCCGAAGUUGAAACUGAAAUCGCAAGCGGAAAAAGGCGGGAGUGCGAGUGCGCCGUGUACGCCGACGGAGACAAAUGCGCAACAUAUAGGCAAGGAUAUAAGUGCCGCGUCGGAAAAUAAAAAUGAGGACAGCGAUGUAAGUAGUGGAGCUGUGACCAAGAAGCAAAAAGUUUCAAGAUGACUGAUUUUCUAUUUGGUUCUUCAAAACUGCCUCUAGAAAUAAAACUGCUGCAUUCUGCAGAAAGAAGCAUAUCAGAGACUGACUUGAAAACAUUGCUUGAAGCCGCCUCGCUGCACCUGGCUGGUCACCAGGAGGAGGCCCGCUGCCGGUACGAAGCAGUGCCCGGCCGGCUGGCAGCUGUCUAUGGCGGCCUCAUCAGCCUGCUGAGGGCCGGCCGUGCGCUGCCACCGGCCCGCCGCCGCGCCGACAUCCUCACAGACGCCCUCCGACGCUACAGAGUACCAGACAGUUGGCACUCAGCGCUGGUGGCGGCGAUGUGUGCCUCUCCUGAGCCGCCGCCAACGGCCGGCCCCGUCCAGUGGACUCUGGAUGUAAUCAUCUCAGACAGUGAGCGAGGACAAGUUUUGGAACCAUCUGUGGGGCUGACUAUACCGAACGCUGCUGGUGGCGGCACCUCUCUGCAACUACCGAAAGCUCAGUUUCUGCGACUUCGCCGUGAGAUGGCAGUGGCGCGCCGUGAGGUGGACAACGUCCAGGCCAAAUUCGCAUCUCGGGUUAGCUGAUAAAGUGGAUGAUUUUUGGUGACUUGCUUUCCCUCGAAAUGCAAGAAAACAUAUGCACCACGAGGACUGGGUUUCGACCAAGGUGCCUUAUCAGUUAUCACCCUUGCAUAACUGAAUGAUGACUGGUACAGGAUUGCCUGCGCCAAUGUGUUGUAACUUAUAUCAUAGCUGUAGUGGAGAGAAUUUCGUGUACUGUAUGAACUGAUGUGCAAUUUAUUCGUGUACUGCGUGCCUUGAGCGGGCACCCUCGCGUAAUCACAUAAUAUUGCGAUCGUAUCUCGCGAAUGUGAUGCUUUCUGUGUCCACUUUGUAUCAUUCCAUUGCUGUAUGAACGAUUAGUGCGUUCCUAUAAUUGCCUCUUCCAUCAUUUUGGUAUUAUCUUAUUUACCCAGUCGAAUUGCUUCUAGUUGUAACUCUUCUUUCUUGCAACGAGGUUUCGAAACGUCCGGAUUUAAAGUGCCCACCCGUUGGCCCGUUACUUUUGUAUCACCAGGAAAUUAAGAAGUUUUAUCGCGAUCGAAACUACAGUACAUUCGACCAGUUGGAGCCAUAUGGUCAGUAGCUAUAUAGUAUAUUUGCAAAUUUCGUUACUUCAAAAUUUUCCUUGUUUUUGUCGAUAGGAUCAAUGUGAUAUACCUACUCCAUGUUUGAUCUAUUAUUUCCGUAUAAAUAAAAUAUAAUGUUUGCUGUAACAUUGGUCAGUGUCAUUUUAACGACAUCCUUCUUCAACGACACUUGGGAUGUAUUUAUAGAUAUUUUCUCGACAUCUUGUUAGCGCUCUUCCCAGACCCAGAACACUGAAAAGAUCUUUAUGAGGUACAAGCCGAGGUGUACCAGUGUUCUACCGGUAUGCGUAAUGUUAUUUAUGCGAUAAAUAGCGCAGAACCCAUGUCGGGAGUCAUGUGUGAAAAACGCUAAGAAAGGUUACUUUGUGUUCCGCAUAGGCAUUUAAUGGGACUGUUCAGGUUCAUAUUACUCAAAUAAAAUAUUUCAAUGUGUGAGCUUCUCACAUUUAUCUCACAGUGAGAACUGCAGUAAAAUUAUCUCCGUGGUCCCUGUAGAACAAAACGGAUGUUAGAAGGAAUGAUCCUGUAACUUUCAGGUCAUCAUGCUCAUUGCACAAUGCGCACGUCUGGUUUGCUCCAUUUUCCAUACAGUGCAUCGGGGUUAUAAAGGGUCUCUUUUGCGAAAACGUGAAGGUUAUGUAGACUAAAGGCCUCUAUAUCUAAGCGCGUAUUGAACCAGUCAUAGCUUUCGGUGAACGUUUAUUGAAAGUGAACUAAGCGUAGAAAAUAUGCGAUGGUUGUCCAUUUUUCGGACUGUGAUGUGUGCUCUCAAAACGGUUAGUUACAUAAUUUGUAUUCUACAUAUUAAUAGCCUGUACCUACAACAGUUGCUAAAUAAAUAGAGGACUAGAAUA
rnacentral:misc_RNA from 1 species